UUGUGGCUAGGGGUGAAAUUCCAAUCGAACCCGGAGAUAGCUGGUUCUCCCCGAAAUAGCUUUAGGGCUAGCGUCGAGGUAGAGAGUUGCGUGAAGGUAGAGCACUGAAUAUGUGAUGGCCCCAUCUCGGGGUACUGAGCAUAAUCAAACUGCGAAUGUCACGGAAACAUACUCGGCAGUCAGACAGCGGGUGAUAAGGUCCGUUGUCAAGAGGGAAACAGCCCAGACCAUCAGCUAAGGUCCCAAAAUGUAUGCUAAGUGGAAAAGGAUGUGGAGAUGUACAGACAACUAGGAGGUUGGCUCAGAAGCAGCCAUCCUUUAAAGAGUGCGUAACAGCUCACUAGUCGAAUGACUCUGCGCCGAUAAUUUACCGGGGCUAAGCAUACUACCGAAGCUAUGGAUCCCAAGGGAUGGUAGGGGAGCGUUCCAUGAACGGAGAAGUACGACCGAAAGGACGUGUGGAGAUCAUGGAAGAGAGAAUGCCGGUGUGAGUAGCGGAACGUGGGUGAGAAUCCCACGCACCGAAAACCCAAGGUUUCCAGAGGAAGGUUCGUCCGCUCUGGGUAAGUCGGGACCUAAGGCGAGGCCGAAAGGCGUAGUCGAUGGACAACAGGUAGAGAUUCCUGUACCCGUAUAUAUGUGAAGGAAUGACGGAGAGAGGAAGCUGCAGCCAGCGGCUGGAAGAGCUGGUGCAAGCGAGAUAUCGGGAUGGCAGGCAAAUCCACCAUCCGAAACGAGAAGGCGUGAAGCGUACGGAAAGCUACGGCGAGUACGGAAGGCAGUGGAGGAACUUCCAAGAAAAGUUUCUAACGUUAAGUAUAUAUGGCCCGUACCGAAAAUGGACACACAUGGGUGAGGAGAGAAUCCUAAGGUGAGCGAGAGAACUAUAGCUAAGGAACUCUGCAAAAUGACUCCGUAACUUAGGGAGAAGGAGUGCUCAUAGAGAUAUGAGCCGCAGUGAAACGGCCCAAGCGACUGUUUACCAAAAACACAGCUCUCUGCUAAGCCGCAAGGCGAAGUAUAGGGGGUGACGCCUGCCCGGUGCUGGAAGGUUAAGGGGAGGGGUUAACGCAAGUGAAGCCCUGAACUGAAGCCCCAGUAAACGGCGGCCGUAACUAUAACGGUCCUAAGGUAGCGAAAUUCCUUGUCAGGUAAGUUCUGACCCGCACGAAAGGCGUAACGAUUUGGGCGCUGUCUCAGCUGUAGACUCGGUGAAGUCUUAGUACCUGUGAAGAUGCAGGUUACCCGCGACUAGACGGAAAGACCCCAUGGAGCUUCACUGCAGGUUGAUAUUGGGAUUUGAUGCAGCAUGUACAGGAUAGGUAGGAGGCAAAGAGAUGGAUACGCCAGUAUUCAAGGAGCCGCUGUUGGGAUACUACCCCUGUUGUAUUGGAUUUCUAACCGGACGACGUAGAGCCGUUGACGGGACAGUGUCAGUCGGGCAGUUUGACUGGGGCGGUCGCCUCCCAAAGAGUAACGGAGGCGCCCAAAGAUACCCUCAGCUUGGAUGGAAACCAAGCGCAGAGUGCAAAGGCAAAAGGGUGUUUGACUGCGAGACCCACAAGUCGAGCAGGGACGAAAGUCGGGCUUAGUGAUCCGGCGGUGCUGAAUGGAAAGGCCGUCGCUCAACGGAUAAAAGCUACCCUGGGGAUAACAGGCUGAUCUCCCCCAA
rnacentral:rRNA from 1 species